UACGGGGGGGGUAAGCGUUGUUCGGAAUUACUGGGCGUAAAGGGCUCGUAGGCGGCCAACUAAGUCAUACGUGAAAUCCCUCAGCUUAACUGGGGAACUGCGUGUGAUACUGGAUGGCUUGGAUUUGGGAGAGGGAUGCGGAAUUCCAGGUGUAGCGGUGAAAUGCGCAGAUAUCGGGAGGAACACCAACGGCGAAGGCAGCACUCUGGGCUGGAACUGACGCUGAGGAGCGAAAGCGUGGGUAGCAAACAGG
rnacentral:rRNA from 1 species